CAACUUACCAUUCCGAAGAGGUUCUUAGUCUCGCUAACUCCUCCGAAGAUUGGGGAAAGAGGUCCUGGAGGCGAGGUUACCAUUGCAAUAAAUAUCGUGGACCCAAAGAGUUUUGCAGAAAAGUGAUUUAUUAGAGAGAGAAGAAAGACAGCUCCUACGCUAUCAUUCCAGGAGACCUAGAGAAGGUAAGGAGCAGCUGAAUUUUAACCCUUGAGUUAUUCCUGCCCUUUCAUGUUCUUGUCCAAUGAGAGGAGUUCUUUCAACUGCCUCUGGAGUGAUUGAUCUUUGACUCUGACAUUGGAUUGGCUACUUGGUCCACGACUGAGAGUUACAGAGCCCCCUCCUCCCGGAGCUUUCCACGGGUUUCUUGGGACAAUAGAGCCCACCUGGCUUUCCCCAGCUAGCGGGCAAGUGGAGAAACCCAGACAAAGAACUUUACAUUUGAAACCCCUCUGCUUCCUAGAUGAAGACGUGGAGGCUGGGAAACUCCUGCCUUUGAAACCAAGCCUCUUGGACCCAGGAAGAGUCUGGUUCCCGGAUGGAGGCAUGGAGCCAUGGAGAAGUCCCUGUAGGUACAGUAGACCCUUGAACAACAUGGGUUUGAACAUCGUGGGUUCGAUUAUAGUCAGAUUUUCCUCUGCCUCAGCUACCCCUGAGACAAUAAGACCAAUCCCUCCUCUUCUUCCUCCUCGGUUUCUUCAACAUGAAGAUGACAAAGAUGAAGACCUUUAUGAUGAUUCGUUACCACUUAAUGAACGCCAUCCACAUAAGAUGUGA
rnacentral:lncRNA from 13 species